UACGUAGGUGGCAAGCGUUUUCCGGAUUUACUGGGCGUAAAGAGCGCGCAGGCGGUCGUUCAAGUCGCGUGUGAAAGCCCCCGGCUCAACUGGGGAGGGUCACGCGAUACUGAUCGACUCGAAGGCAGGAGAGGGAAGUGGAAUUCCCGGUGUAGUGGUGAAAUGCGUAGAUAUCGGGAGGAACACCAGUGGCGAAGGCGACUUCCUGGCCUGUUCUUGACGCUGAGGCGCGAAAGCUAGGGGAGCAAACGGG
rnacentral:rRNA from 1 species